rnacentral:rRNA from 1 species
GUGAGUAACCUGCCUUAGACAUUGGGAUAGCCUCGGGAAACCGGGAUUAAUACCAAAUAAAAUCAUAAUGACACAUGUCAUAACGAUCAAAACUCCGGUGGUCUAAGAUGGACUCGCGUCCCAUUAGCUAGUUGGUAUAGUAAAAACCUACCAAGGCGACGAUGGGUAGCCGGCCUGAGAGGGUGAACGGCCACAUUGGAACUGAGAAACGGUCCAA